GGGCAGGUUUAUCAUCUUUGCAGGAGCUCCAUGUAGGGAGCAGACUGAGGCUUGCAGUCACCCUGGAAGCUGUGGUUAAGUUUCCACAUACUCUGUCAACACACACAUUUAGACAAGAGGGAGGUUCUGCAUCCCCCUGAGAUGAUAUCAGCAAGGGAAGGCUUUGCCCCUCCCAACCACUAGAGGAGAGGAAAAUGGCCUCAUGGCUAGGGAAGCAUGGAUAGGAAACAGAUAGGAAGAUGCUGAAUAAACAAGAGACUCCAGUGUUGCAACAUGGAACUGAGAGCUCUCUAAAGGUGACAAGAUGCUUGUGUUUGGUCUUUAUCGCUGUCUGGUUGCUAGGAGUUUCCAAGUCCAUGUUCCCCCACUCAGGCCAAACCUCAUGGAUACCACGGCUUGGGGCUGAGACAUGCCACGACAAAAUGGCUCCUGAACACAGGAUCUGAGAACGGGGGAAGAAGCCAUGGACACCACGAAGAAAGGGACACCAAAGAAGCAAUGGACAAGGCAGAGGUGUGGACAAUUCAAAGAGAUAGUCAUUGAGGUCGAACCAGCCAGAGAAGAGGCACAUGCAGGAAAAAGAAGAAAGAAGUGGCCGAGUGUGGACUUGGGAGGAUAAAUGAAUGACUUACAGGAACUGGAUACAUAAUGUCUCGCUCACAUUCCGAAGCCACUUCUCUUCUACACACCCUUUCACCUGCCACCAUCAACAGUCCUCAUUCCUGCUGGUCAGAGCCUCAGGUGUGAGGCCCAGGGAUAGGAUGCAGAGCCAAGUCUCAGAAACAGACCAUUUCUUUUCAACAAACCCAAGAGAGCCUGCAGUUCUCCCAGAAAGUGAGGUUGUAUGAUUGAGUGCCAACAAAGAUGGAUGCCCAGUGUUUCCUUCACCAGGCACCCUAGAAGUGUGCACCCUGGAAUGGCUGGCUGGUGAACUUCUCCCAUCAUCCUAUAUCCUUUACCCCUGCUAAGAGCCACCUCCAAGGCACAGCAGAAACUGAGAAGCUAGGUGUACUCUAGCUCUGGGACUUGUGUAUAUCACGCAAUGUGACGCUGAUGGCUUUGGUUGUAAGAUGAGAUAACAAUGAUGCAAGACACUGUCUACUAGAGGUGGUUGUGCUGGCUAGUUUAUGUCACCUUGACACAAGCUAGAGUCAUUUGAAAAGAGGAAACCUCAUUUGAGAAAUGCCCCUAUCAAGAUCUGACUAUAGGGCAUUUUCUUCAGUCAUUACGGGUAGGGCCCUCCCUGGGCUGUUGUCUUAGGUUCUAUAAACAGAUUGAGCAAACCAAAAUGAGUAAGCCAGUAAGCAGCACCCUCCACAGCCUCUGCAUCAGUUCCUGCCCUGACUUCCUUCAGUGAUGGACUACAAUGUGGAAGUGUAAGCAAAAUAAGCCUUUUCCUCCCCAACUUACUUUUGGUCAUGGUGUUUUGUCUCGGUAACAGAAGCCCUCACUAGCACCAUGGUUUUAUGUAGUAUGUGUACUUCUUAACACCAGGACUUAAAAAACUGUCCUUUGCAUUACACUGGAGGGUUGGGAGGAAAGCACUUGGACUCUGCUGCAAUCCACAGCUCAACAAGCAGAGGUAGACUUGGCUACAACAACUUCCAGUUAGAUGCUGUGCUCUGCUCCUCCUGACAGAGCUGGCCAAGUCCUGGAAUGCUGGCAUGCUGACACACCAACUCUACUCGGUAAAACAGCAAUCCCUUGGAUAAUAAAACCAUCAUGAGAGCCAACUGUGUCCUGUGUUGAGCUGGUCUUGUUCUCAGCCUUCCAACUGGGGCAGGACUCCCUUGCCAUAUAGACAAAAAGACCUAGACUUCCACAUGCCAUAUCCACCUUCCUGAGAAUAGGUAAGUUUAUUGUGAAAACCUACUGCUAAGGAAAAAAGGUGUUUUAAACAUUUCCUCUAUUUCUACUGGGAAAAGAUACCAUGCAAACAAACCAGAGGAUGCUUGGCAGGCCUGACAAUAAAGUGUUUCAGUUGGACAGUAUUAGAAAGAUUAUGGCUAUAAGAAACGACAUUAAAAACCGAGCAAAUUGAGUUUGUGAGUAAAAUAUAAUAAGCUUUGGUCGAGUUGAGUAGUGGAGAGGGUGAGGGUAGUGUCUUCAGGUGGUAGACUAUUAGGCAGGAAAUGUCUUCAGGGAUCAUGUUGUUUUGCUUCAAACUGUACUUAAAAUUGUAGGCAGAGGGAUGACUCAG
rnacentral:lncRNA from 1 species